UUGAAUAUCCCGGCCGGGCUCAAGGCUAAGCUCAACUCAACAGCCCAAGAUGAAGCUUAACUCUGGAUCCUCUCCCUGUGUCUACGUGGACCAGGUGUCUAGCCAGGGCAUGAUUAUCUCAUGGCAACAACAUGAGGGACAAGAGAACAAACCCCAACCAUAUACACAACCAGAAUCCCAGCUGAAUGGAUUCACUCAGUCUUGAGAUCCAGACUGGUCCAGGAUAUGCAAUCAACAUCUUUCUGAACUCUUAGAGGAUUGGAGGACAUUUACAGCAGGCCAACAAAGAGGAUACUUACAUUAUGCCUGAGGGGUUGGAGAAGGCUUGACACUGGAAGGGACAUGGGGUCCCAGUCUUGGAAAAUGAGAAGAAGCCACCAAAUAGAGAAAAGGAAAAAAAGAACUCCACAUACAAAGUAGCAGGUAC